rnacentral:rRNA from 1 species
CCUACGGGUGGCAGCAGUGAGGAAUAUUGGUCAAUGGGCGCUAGCCUGAACCAGCCAAGUAGCGUGAAGGAUGAAGGCCCUAUGGGUGGUAAACUUCUUUUAUAUGGGAAUAAAGUGCAGUAGGUAUACUGCUUUGCAUGUACCUGAUGAAUAAGGAUCGGCUAACUCCGUGCCAGCAGCCGCGGUAAUACGGAGGAUCCGAGCGUUAGCCGGAUUUAUUGGGUUUAAAGGGAACGUAGGCGGGUUGUUAAGUCCGUUGUGAACGUUUGCGGCUCAACCGGAAAAUUGCAGUUGCUACGGGCAUCCUUGCUUACAGUAGAUGUAGGCGGCCUUCGUGUUGUAGCGCU